ensembl:lncRNA
GAAGCCAGAGUAGAAACCGUGGCUGAGCCCAGGCCCUGGUCUCACUCAGUGGUAACAACAGCACCUGAUGUUUCCACCACAACCCUCCUGUUUGGGGGGGAUUUAAAAAUGCCUCAACCCCACAUGGGCUUCAUGACCCCAGACUUUUUUUUCAAAUGACAUAGCCAACAGAUGGGCACACGAAAGUGUAAAAGUUACUUUUCUUUUUCAUCUGUUCGUUAUGAAGUCGGAGGAACAUUAGUCCGUUCUGCAGACAGGGAUCAUUUCUGGAUCUAAAUGCCUUCCUAAUUUUGGAGAUUCUACCUUGACGCCACUCUUUGCUUACAGAGUUGUCCUUUUAGACGAUCCCCGUGGGUGAUACCAGGGGCCUUAGAGAACCAUUUGGCCCCAGAAGCUCACCUGAGAAAUUUACCUUCUGCUGGCUUUGUGUUCAUGCACAGCACCUGGCUUAGGGCUCCGCCCACAAUGGUAACCUGGGAAGGGCUGCUGACCCUCAGUGUGGGUCUAGGCUCCAAGGGAAGGGGUGCUGAGCCUUCGGCCCAAAGACUUCAUGGAGAUUAUGAGAUCCUUCCACAGAUGAGACCUUCCGAAAUGAGGAUUCACUUAAGCUGCCUCCCUGGUUCCUCUACUCCGUGCAGGCCAUGUCCUACCCCAGCUUUCAAGCCGUCAUACCUGUACCUCAGAGAGAAAAAAGAGUGUGAGAUCACUGAAACCAGACACUGUGAUUACACCAAUCCUCCUGCCGCUCUGCUAUUGGUCCGACGUCACUGCUGCGUAGCAGGUGAAAAUGGGAGACACAUGUUAUUCUCUGCUAAGCACGGCCCAUGACAUGGCUUUCAGGAUAGGAUCUUGCAAACACUUCCGGGCACCACAAGGGUUCUUUCUAGGUGUUUGAAGGGCCAGCUGUUCUGCAGGGCUUGGAUGUUAUUCUGGUUUAUUUCUGCAAGUUUUAUUGUUGGCUUGUUUUUUUUUUUUUUUUGAAGAAUUUUUCACUAGAAUUCAUUUUCACCCACUUUACGGAUGCCUUAAAAUAAUCUGGUGCUGCAGACUCUUCCAACAGCUGCCAGCUUGCCUGUGAGGUGAGGCGGCUGCUCCCGCGAGGGCGAAACAGCACUGGAAUGUUUAAAACCCGAGAGGGCAACAGACAAGGGAGAGCUUUCGUGCUUACGUGUUAACUGUGGCAAGGAGAAACUUUCUCCAGCCAGAAAUCACUCAGCAUUCUGCAGCAGAUCGAUGACUGGCCGCCCCUGAGAACAGCAAGCAAUCUCAUACGUGGUAGAUAGUAGGAGGUGGUCAUAAAUCAUCUCAACAAAAGAUGUUCUUUCGAACCUCAAACUGCAGUCACCAUGGAGAAGGGGAGGAGGUGUGCGGCUUUGUAACUGGAGCCUCAUUCACAUAACUGGAAUCAGGGGCUCCAGCGUGACUGCCUCAGAGGUAGCAGCUGCCUUCUGCUCCCCGGGGCUGCCUCAUUCCAUAGAUGGGUCGGGUGACGCCUGUGUACACAGAGUUGGUGACAUUUGUAUGAUGUCUGGAUGAAGCGUGCUUGCAGGAAUGUUGGCGAAUACUAAUUAUUAUUAUAAUCAUACUGUGGAUAGGUCUGUUGGCCUUUAGCAGAUAGCAGCUUAUAUAAACACUCUGCUUUGAUGUAAGAGGCUCCCAAGCAUCAGUGGUUAACAUAAUUUUGGUUGGUUUCUACAAUCGGCUGUGGUCAUUAUGGUGCCUCGCCUAACAUAACCCCAAGGAGUAGUUCACAUAUUUCUAGGGGGGUUGGUCACUGAGUCAUUUAUCAAGAACUUAAGUCGCCCGUGGGACAGAUCUUGUUGCUAUU